GACGAACGCUGGCGGCGUGCUUAACACAUGCAAGUCGAACGGAAAGGCCCUGCUUUUGUUGGGUGCUCGAGUGGCGAACGGGUGAGUAACACGUGAGUAACCUGCCCUUGACUUUGGGAUAACUUCAGGAAACUGGGGCUAAUACCGGAUAGGAGCUCCUGCUGCAUGGUGGGGGUUGGAAAGUUUCGGCGGUUGGGGAUGGACUCGCGGCUUAUCAGCUUGUUGGUGGGGUAGUGGCUUACCAAGGCUUUGACGGGUAGCCGGCCUGAGAGGGUGACCGGCCACAUUGGGACUGAGAUACGGCCCAGACUCCUACGGGAGGCAGCAGUGGGGAAUAUUGCACAAUGGGCGGAAGCCUGAUGCAGCAACGCCGCGUGCGGGAUGACGGCCUUCGGGUUGUAAACCGCUUUAGCCUGUGACGAAGCGUGAGUGACGGUAAUGGGUAAAGAAGCACCGGCUAACUACGUG
rnacentral:rRNA from 1 species